rnacentral:rRNA from 1 species
CUUGGUCAUUUAGAGGAAGUAAAAGUCGUAACAAGGUUUCCGUAGGUGAACCUGCGGAAGGAUCAUUAAAAAUGAAGCCGGGAAACCGGUCCUUCUAACCCUUGAUUAUCUUAAUUUGUUGCUUUGGUGGGCCGCGCAAGCACUGGCUUCGGCUGGAUCGUGCCCGCCAGAGGGCCACAACUCUGUAUCAAAUGUCGUCUGAGUACUAUAAAAUAGUUAAAACUUUCAACAACGGAUCUCUUGGUUCUGGCAUCGAUGAAGAACGCAGCGAAAUGCGAUAAGUAAUGUGAAUUGCAGAAUUCAGUGAAUCAUCGAAUCUUUGAACGCACAUUGCGCCCUCUGGUAUUCCGGAGGGCAUGCCUGUUCGAGCGUCAUAAUGACCAAAUCACCCCCGUGGUGGACUUGGAGUUGGCCUGUACUGGCCUCUCUUAAAAUCAGUGGCGGUGCUCUUAAGCUCUACGCGUAGUAAUUUAUCUCGCUACAGGGUCUUAUUAGUACUUGCCAACAACCCCAACUUAUCAUAAGGUUGACCUCGGAUCAGGUAGGGAUACCCGCUGAACUUAAGCAUAUCAAUAAGCGGAGGA